UGCAUUGGUGGAGGUAUCUAAU
rnacentral:siRNA from 1 species